rnacentral:rRNA from 1 species
GAUGAACGCUGGCGGCGUGCCUAAUACAUGCAAGUCGAGCGAACAGACGAGGAGCUUGCUCCUCUGACGUUAGCGGCGGACGGGUGAGUAACACGUGGAUAACCUACCUAUAAGACUGGGAUAACUUCGGGAAACCGGAGCUAAUACCGGAUAAUAUAUUGAACCGCAUGGUUCAAUAGUGAAAGACGGUUUUGCUGUCACUUAUAGAUGGAUCCGCGCCGCAGUAGCUAGUUGGUAAGGUAACGGCCUACCAAGGCAACGAUCCGUAGCCGACCUGAGAGGGUGAGCGGCCACACUGGAACUGAGACACGGUCCAGACUCCUACGGGAGGCAGCAGUAGGGAACCUUCCGCAAUGGGCGGAAUCCUGCCGGAGCCACGCCGCGUGAGUGAUGAAGGUCUUCGGAUCGUAAACCUCUGUUAUUAGGGAAGAACAAAUGUGUAAGUAACUAUGCACGUCUUGACGGUACCUAAUCAGAAAGCCCCGGCUAACUACGUG